rnacentral:lncRNA from 10 species
UAACAAAAUGAAAUCACAUGCCAGAACCCAGAAUUAGAAGAGGACACCACACAAAAUUACAUGGCAAGGGUAUGAAUAAGUUAAUUAUUUGUGGCCAUAUUUCAACGGCAACGUGAUAUGGUACAAAGAAAAGUUGGAAUUGUAACAGGACCUUCCGGAUGUGAAAGAACCAUGUCCAGGAUGAUCAAGUGAUGAAGAGGUGGGCAGA